rnacentral:lncRNA from 1 species
AUGCCAAAACAAUGUUUGGGUAUGACACAAAAAUACAAGAGUGGAAUGUUAAGCACCAAAACAGGUUCUGGAUUUCAGGUUUAUGGGACUGGGGAACAGGGUGCUGUUGGGAUGGGGAACAGGGUGCUGUUUGGACUGGGGUACAGGGUGCAGUUUGGGACUGAGGAACAGGGUGCUGUUUGGGAAUGGGGAACAGGGUGCUGUUUGGGACUGGGGAACAGGGUGCUGUUUGGGCUGGGGUACAGGGUGCAGUUUUGGACUGAGGAACGGGUGCUGUUUGGGAGGAAUGGGAACAGGUGCUGUUUGGGAUGGGGAACAGGUGUGUUUGGGAAUGGGGAACAGGGUGCUGUUUGGGGCUGAGGAACAGGGUG